rnacentral:rRNA from 1 species
GAGCGUUAUUCGGAAUCACUGGGCGUAAAGAGUACGUAGGCGGUUUGGUAAGUCAGGUGUGAAAUCCCGGGGCUCAACCCCGGAACUGCAUCCGAUACUGCCAGACUGGAGUAAUGGAGAGGCAGGUGGAAUUCUCGGUGUAGCAGUGAAAUGCGUGGAUAUCGAGAGGAAGACCAAUGGCGAAGGCAGCCUGCUGGACAUCUACUGACGCUGAGGUACGAAGGCCAGGGUAGCGAAAGAGAUUAGAUACCCCUGUAGUCCUGGCAGUAAACGGUGCGCGCUUGGUGUGGGAGGACUCGACCCCUUCUGUGCCGGAGCUAACGCGUUAAGCGCGCCGCCUGGGGAGUACGGUCGCAAGACUAAAACUCAAAGAAAUUGACGGGGACCCGCACAAGCGGUGGAGUAUGUGGCUUAAUUCGAUGCAACGCGAAGAACCUUACCUAGGCUUGACAUGUAUUGCUAAGCACGUGAAAGCGUGUGACUCUUCGGAGACCUUACACAGGUGCUGCAUGGCCGUCGUCAGCUCGUGUCGUGAGAUGUUGGGUUAAGUCCCGCAACGAGCGCAACCCUUGUUUUUAGUUGUUUGGUCUCGCGUCCUCGUCAUGGUUAGUGGCGGUCAGUGGCGUCAAACAUUGAGGUGCCAACCUAGAAAGACUGCCGGCGACAAGCCGGAGGAAGGAGAGGAUGAGGUCAAGUCAGCAUGCCCCUUAUGUCCUGGGCUACACACGUGCUACAAUGGUUUUGGACAAAGAGUUGCGAGCUUGUGAAAGUGUGCUAAUCUCAUAAACCUUACCUAAGUUCAGAUUGCAGGCUGCAAUUCGCCUGCAUGAAGUCGGAAUCGCUAGUAAUCGCUGGUCAGCCAUACAGCGGUGAAUACGUUCUCGGGCCUUGCACACACCGCCCGUCA